rnacentral:rRNA from 1 species
GUUGAACGCUGGCGGCGUGCCUAAUACAUGCAAGUCGAGCGAACAGACGAGGAGCUUGCUCCUCUGACGUUAGCGGCGGACGGGUGAGUAACACGUGGAUAACCUACCUAUAAGACUGGGAUAACUUCGGGAAACCGGAGCUAAUACCGGAUAAUAUAUUGAACCGCAUGGUUCAAUAGUGAAAGACGGUUUUGCUGUCACUUAUAGAUGGAUCCGCGCUGCAUUAGCUAGUUGGUAAGGUAACGGCUUACCAAGGCAACGAUGCAUAGCCGACCUGAGAGGGUGAGCGGCCACACUGGAACUGAGACACGGUCCAGACUCCUACGGGAGGCAGCAGUAGGGAAUCUUCCGCAAUGGGCGAAAGCCUGACGGAGCAACGCCGCGUGAGUGAUGAAGGUCUUCGGAUCGUAAAACUCUGUUAUUAGGGAAGAACAAAUGUGUAAGUAACUAUGCACGUCUUGACGGUACCUAAUCAGAAAGCCACGGCUAACUACGUG